GAUGAAGAACGUAGCGAAAUGCGAUAAGUAGUGUGAAUUGCAGAAUUCAGUGAAUCAUCGAAUCUUUGAACGCACAUUGCGCCCCCUGGAAUUCCGGGGGGCAUGCCUGUUCGAGCGUCUCAGGGACGAACCCUCGCGCGGGUGUACGCGCGGUCGUGGCUGCGGUGGCGUGCCCGAGGCGGCGGCCACCGCGCUGGAAUCCAUGGGCGGACGCCUGCCGCGUGGCCGAGCGUGAUAUGACGCAUUGGCGCUCGCACGCGGCGAGGCUGCCAGCCCUGGCCCGUCUGUCGGGCGGGGGAGAGCAAGACACGUGAACUCCUCGAAUCAGGUAGGGAUACCCGCUGAACUUAAGCAUAUCAAUAAGCGGAGGA
rnacentral:misc_RNA from 1 species